UGGGGAAUAUUGCACAAUGGGCGCAAGCCUGAUGCAGCCAUGCCGCGUGUGUGAAGAAGGCCUUCGGGUUGUAAAGCACUUUCAGCGAGGAGGAAGGUGGUGGACUUAAUACGUUCAUCAAUUGACGUUACUCGCAGAAGAAGCACCGGCUAACUCCGUGCCAGCAGCCACGGUAAUACGGAGGGUGCAAGCGUUAAUCGGAAUUACUGGGCGUAAAGCGCACGCAGGCGGUUUGUUAAGUCAGAUGUGAAAUCCCCGGGCUCAACCUGGGAACUGCAUUUGAAACUGGCAAGCUAGAGUCUCGUAGAGGGGGGCUAGAAUUCCAGGUGUAGCGGUGAAAUGCGUAGAGAUCUGGAGGAAUACCGGUGGCGAAGGCGGCCCCCCUGGACGAAGACUGACGCUCAGGUGCGAAAGCGUGGGGAGCAAACAGGAUUAGAUACCCUGGUAGUCCACGCUGUAAACGAUGUCGAUUUGGAGGUUGUGCCCUUGAGGCGUGGCUUCCGGAGCUAACGCGUUAAAUCGACCGCCUGGGGAGUACGGCCGCAAGGUUAAAACUCAAAGGAAUUGAC
rnacentral:rRNA from 1 species